rnacentral:rRNA from 11 species
ACAUACUAUUUGUCUAAACACUCUAAAGGUACCAGAUCCUGUUUUAUCUUGGACGCUAAGGAGGGUCAUUCUUGGUAAAUACUUGGAUGGGAGACCACCAACAAAUCCCAAACGCUGUAUGUU